rnacentral:lncRNA from 1 species
AUACUCUAAUAUAGGUCUUUGGCUCUUUUAUUGUUUUCCAAACCUUUCCAUUCCUCAUUCUUGUUGGAAUUGUUAUUUUAUUUCUGUAAAUUAAAGUGACACUGUUUUUCAUCAUGGGUGAUUUUUUAGACCACCACGGGUAUGGCCUGGCUUCAUUUGUGUUGUUUCAUCUUCAACACCAUCUUCGCGGAAUCAGUGCCAAAUAGGAACCAAUAUUGUUGCCUCUCGAAUUUGAAGGACACUAGACGACAUUAUUUGAUCUGCAUAGAUGGUGUAGCGGGAGUAGCCGCACGGAUGAGAAGGUUUGUUGCCACAGUUCAGCAAUUCGAGUUUCUGAACCUAAAUCCUAGAGUUUAAAACUGCUGCAACUCAGGAUAUUCUAAUUUCUUGAUGAGUUUCGCCUCUAUUGUUGGAUUGAAUGGUGUUCGAUGUUGAAUUAUUUUCUCUACUUGUUCUUCAAGGAUUGAGUUGUGGAAAUUCUAUUAUCUGUGAAGCUAAACAUUUCUUUGAUGGUUUGAUUAUAAUCUUUUUUGUAUUUUGAUGGUUUAUGGUUCAUAAGAGGCAUUUUGUGGGAUGAGAAUGGGACAAGUGUGGUUGGCUUUAACUCUUUGAUUUGAUGGUUUUCUUCUUGGUUUGAAAAGUUCACUACUCAGUUUUGAUGCCUUCUCGGAUAAUCCUCUAAUAUAGGUCUUUGUCUCUUUUAUUAGUUUUCCAAACUUUUCAAUUCAUCAUUCUUGUUGGAAUUGUUAUUUUAUUUCUGAAAAUUAAAGUGACACUGUUUUUCGUCAUGGGUGAUUUUUUAGACCACCAGGGGUAUGGUCUGGCUUCAUUUGUGUGGCUUCAUCUUCAACACCAUCUUGUUGAAUCAGUGCCAAAUAGGAUCCAAUUUUGUUGCCUCUCGAAUUUGAAGGAC